rnacentral:rRNA from 1 species
CAGCAGCCACGGUAAUACGAAGGGGGCUAGCGUUGUUCGGAAUCACUGGGCGUAAAGCGCACGUAGGCGGAUACUUAAGUCAGGGGUGAAAUCCCAGGGCUCAACCUCGGAACUGCCUUUGAUACUGGGUAUCUUGAGUCCGGGAGAGGUUGGUGGAACUCCGAGUGUAGAGGUGAAAUUCGUAGAUAUUCGGAGGAACACCAGUGGCGAAGGCGGCUCACUGGACCAUUACUGACGCUGAGGUGCGAAAGCGUGGGGAGCAAACAGGAUUAGAUACCCCCGUAGUCCCUGUCUCUUAUAC